rnacentral:rRNA from 1 species
CCUACGGGGGGCAGCAGUGGGGAAUAUUGCGCAAUGGGCGAAAGCCUGACGCAGCGACGCCGCGUGAGGGAUGAAGGUCUUCGGAUCGUAAACCUCUGUCAGCAGGGAGGAACGGUCACUGUGCUAAUCAGCAGUGAAUUGACGGUACCUGCAAAGGAAGCACCGGCUAACUCCGUGCCAGCAGCCGCGGUAAUACGGAGGGUGCGAGCGUUAAUCGGAAUUACUGGGCGUAAAGCGCACGUAGGCGGUAUGUCAAGUCAAGGGUGAAAUCCCCGGGCUCAACGUGGGAACUGCCUUUGAAACUGGCAGGCUGGAGUGUGGGAGAGGAGAGUGGAAUUCCAGGUGUAGGAGUGAAAUGCGUAGAGAUCUGGAGGAACACCAGUGGCGAAGGCGACUAUUUGGCCGAUAACUGACGCUGAGGAGCGAAAGCGUGGGUAGCAAACAGGAUUAGAUACCCUAGUAGUC